rnacentral:rRNA from 1 species
UACAGAGGGGGCAAGCGUUAUUCAGAAUUAUUGGGCGUAAAGGGCGCGUAGGCGGCUUGGCAAGUGGAUGGUGAAAUCCCUCGGCUUAACCGAGGAACUGCCAUCCAGACUGCUUUGCUUGAGGCCGGGAGAGGUGAGUGGAAUUCCCAGUGUAGCGGUGAAAUGCGUAGAUAUCUGGAGGAACACCGGUGGCGAAGGCGGCAUCCUGGACCGACACUGACGCUGAGGAGCGAAAGCCAGGGAGCAAACAGG